CCCUUAGAUGUUCUGGGCUGCACGCGUGCUACAAUGGCGCUUGCAACAAGUCUUGCCAACCCGAUAGGGUGAGCGGAUCUUUGAAGAGGCGUCGUGAUCGGGACAGUUGAUUGCAAUUAUUCGACUCGAACGAGGAAUUCCUUGUAAUCGCGAUUCAUCAUAUCGCGCUGAAUACGUCCCUGCCCUUUGUACACACCGCCCGUCGCUCCUACCGAUUGAGCGAUCCGGUGAAUGUUUUGGACUGGCGUCAGAAGCGGUUCGCUCCUGACACUACGAAAUUUUGUAAACCUUAUCACUUAGAGGAAGGAAAAGUCGUAACA
rnacentral:rRNA from 1 species